CGAUGGGAAAAUGGUUAAUAUUCCAUUACUUCUGUGUAAUGCGAUGAGAGGACGGAGAAGGCUAAAUCAGCCUGGCGUUGGUUGUCCAGGUGAAAGGAUGUAGGCAUGUAUCUUAGGCAAAUCCGGGGUACUCUAUGCUGAGAUCUGAUAGCAAGCUGUACUUGUACAGCGAAGUGGUUGAUGCCAUGCUUCCAGGAAAAGUCUCUAAGCUUCAGUUACACAGGAAUCGUACCCGAAACCGAC
rnacentral:rRNA from 1 species